rnacentral:rRNA from 1 species
CACUCCUGCGGGAGGCAGCAGUGGGGAAUAUUGCACAAUGGGCGCAAGCCUGAUGCAGCCAUGCCGCGUGUAUGAAGAAGGCCUUCGGGUUGUAAAGUACUUUCAGCGGGGAGGAAGGCGAUAAGGUUAAUAACCUUGUCGAUUGACGUUACCCGCAGAAGAAGCACCGGCUAACUCCGUGCCAGCAGCCGCGGUAAUACGGAGGGUGCAAGCGUUAAUCGGAAUUACUGGGCGUAAAGCGCACGCAGGCGGUCUGUCAAGUCGGAUGUGAAAUCCCCGGGCUCAACCUGGGAACUGCAUUCGAAACUGGCAGGCUAGAGUCUUGUAGAGGGGGGUAGAAUUCCAGGUGUAGCGGUGAAAUGCGUAGAGAUCUGGAGGAAUACCGGUGGCGAAGGCGGCCCCCUGGACAAAGACUGACGCUCAGGUGCGAAAGCGUGGGGAGCAAACAGGAUUAGAUACCCCAGUAGUCCCAUG